rnacentral:tRNA from 15 species
GCGAGGGUGGCGAAACUGGUAGACGCGCUGGAUUUAGGUUCCAGUACCUCACGGUGUGGGGGUUCGACUCCCCCCUCUCGCACCA